rnacentral:snRNA from 1 species
AUCGCUUCUCGGCCUUUUGGCUAAGAUCAAGUGUAGUAUCUGUUCUUCUCAGUUUAAUAUGGACUAGGGAGAGAGCAUUCAGUGCUUGUCAUUCUUUGACUGGAUUAUUUCACUUGAUGUAAUCAAAUUUUU